rnacentral:rRNA from 1 species
AGAGUUUGAUCAUGGCUCAGAUUGAACGCUGGCGGUAUGCUUAACACAUGCAAGUCGAACGAGUAGUUACUUCGGUAACGAGAGUGGCGGACGGGUGAGUAACGCGUAGGAAUCUGCCUGUUAGUGGGGGACAACGUGGGGAAACUCACGCUAAUACCGCAUACGCCCUACGGGGGAAAGGAGGGGAUCUUCGGACCUUUCGCUAACAGAUGAGCCUGCGUAGGAUUAGCUAGUUGGUAGGGUAAAGGCCUACCAAGGCGACGAUCCUUAGCUGGUCUGAGAGGACGAUCAGCCACACUGGGACUGAGACACGGCCCAGACUCCUACGGGAGGCAGCAGUGGGGAAUAUUGGACAAUGGGCGAAAGCCUGAUCCAGCAAUACCGCGUGUGUGAAGAAGGCCUUCGGGUUGUAAAGCACUUUCAAUGGGGAGGAACACCUGUUGGUCAAUACCCGGCAGCUUGACAUUACCCAUAGAAGAAGCACCGGCUAACUCCGUGCCAGCAGCCGCGGUAAUACGGAGGGAGCUAGCGUUGUUCGGAAUAACUGGGCGUAAAGGGUGCGUAGGUGGGCGUGUGCGUUAGAUGUGAAAUCCCCGGGCUUAACCUGGGAACUGCAUUUAAUACGGCACGUCUAGAGUGCGAGAGGGGAAAGCGGAAUGGCGAGUGGAGCAGUGAAAUGCAUUGAGAUUCGCUAGAACACCAGAGGCGAAGGCGGCUUUCUGGCUCGCUACUGACACUAAGGCACGAAAGCGUGGGGAGCAAACAGGAUUAGAUGCCCUGGUAGUCC